rnacentral:tmRNA from 1 species
GGGGCUGUAAAGGUUUCGACGGGGAGAGCGAAACGGGAGCAGCGGGCCGUGUUCGGGGGACACACGAUAAACGCCUCCAAAAAAAUAGCUAACAACAACAAAUUAGCUGUCGCUGCCUAAUUAUAGGCAGCUGUCCUGUCCGCGAUAGCGCUGCGCGGAGCCAGGGCAUCGACUAAGCGCUGAACGUGAGCCGCCUCAAGCUUUGCGGGCGGCCAUGAACUCAUGAAGCUACCGACGCGUCGGCGCGUUUGUCCGCCUGAUGCCGGGGGAAUCCUGUAGGCAAACUACGCCCGUAGAUACUAACGCGGACCUUUUUUCGGACACGGGUUCGAUUCCCGUCAGCUCCACCA